rnacentral:rRNA from 1 species
GAUGAACGCUGGCGGCGUGCCUAAUACAUGCAAGUCGAGCGAACAGACGAGGAGCUUGCUCCUCUGACGUUAGCGGCGGAAGGGUGAGUAACACGUGGAUAACCUACCUAUAAGACUGGGAUAACUUCGGGAAACCGGAGCUAAUACCGGAUAAUAUAUUGAACCGCAUGGUUCAAUAGUGAAAGACGGUUUUGCUGUCACUUAUAGAUGGAUCCGCGCCGCAUUAGCUAGUUGGUAAGGUAACGGCUUACCAAGGCAACGAUGCGUAGCCGACCUGAGAGGGUGAUCGGCCACACUGGAACUGAGACACGGUCCCGACUCCUACGGGAGGCAGCAGUAGGGAAUCUUCCGCAAUGGGCGAAAGCCUGACUGAGCAACGCCGCGUGAGUGAUGAAGGUCUUCGGAUCGUAAAACUCUGUUAUUAGGGAAGAACAAAUGUGUAAGUAACUAUGCACGUCUUGACGGUACCUAAUCAGAAAGCCACGGCUAACUACGUG